rnacentral:tRNA from 1 species
GAGGGCAUAACUCAGUGGUAGAGGACAGCCUAGCAUGCAUGAGGUCCUGGGUUCAACCCCCAGUGCCUCCA